AGCGAACGUUAGCGGCAGGCCUAACACAUGCAAGUCGCGCGAGAACAGGGUAGCAAUACCCCCAGUAAAGCGGCGGACGGGUGAGUAACACGUGGGUAAUGUACCCUUCGGCGGGGGAUAACAGUCCGAAAGGAUUGCUAAUACCGCAUUCGUCGGCGAGGACCUUGGUCUUUGUCGGGAAAGGUGGCCUCUUCAUGAAAGCUACCACCGGAGGAGCAGCCCGCGGCCCAUCAGCUAGUUGGCGGGGUAAUGGCCCACCAAGGCAAAGACGGGUAGCUGGUCUGAGAGGAUGAUCAGCCACACUGGAACUGAGACACGGUCCAGACUCCUACGGGAGGCUG
rnacentral:rRNA from 1 species